rnacentral:rRNA from 1 species
UACGAAGGGGGCGAGCGUUGCUCGGAAUCACUGGGCGUAAAGCGCACGUAGGCGGAUCUUUAAGUCAGGGGUGAAAUCCUGGAGCUCAACUCCAGAACUGCCUUUGAUACUGGGGAUCUCGAGUCCGGAAGAGGUGAGUGGAACUCCGAGUGUAGAGGUGAAAUUCGUAGAUAUUCGGAAGAACACCAGUGGCGAAGGCGGCUCACUGGUCCGGUACUGACGCUGAGGUGCGAAAGCGUGGGGAGCAAACAGG